CCCCGGAGGCGCCGGGAAAUUGGUGGAAAACACCUUCGGAACUUCUCUGAAUACCUAAUGAUCCUGCAUGAAUUUAAUCAUCUCCAGGACUUUAGAGGUAAGUAAUAUCAUUUUAUUCAUUUACAGAGAAGGUAAGAGAGACCCAGAGCUAAUGUUCUAAAUUUGUACAUUUAGUAUAUAGUGGAAAUGAAAUGUAUCACAGCAAAAAACUGGAACAAUGUAAAAUGUCCAGUUAAAUACAUGUAGUGUUUCCAUGGAGUGCUGUGCACUCAUUUAAAAUAAUGAUUUUAAUCACCAGGUAGAAAUAUGUAAAAAUAUAACAUGGUAAGUGAAAAAAACUAAGAUAUUCUAUUACUGGUAGUUUAGCUUACAUGUCUUUUGUUAAAAAUAAAGUUUAUCUAAAAAUGGCUAGGAGAAAAACCACAAAAUGUGAAUUAAAGAGUAUUUAUGUUAUGGGUGAUUUUUUUUCUCUGUAAUUUCCUGCCUAUUUAAUGUGGUGACAUUACUUCUUUAUAGGAAAAAUAAACAUAACAAAAUGGGGAGAGGAAUCGACUUUUGAAAAUUUUUAUCAAAUCUAGUCAAGUGAUUUGUAUUUUAAAUUUGACUUAACAGAAAUCAAGUAGGUUUUUCUCAUAGCUGAUGCUUGAACAUGGGUUUGAAUUACUGGGAUCCACUUAUAUGGGGAUUUUUUUCCAAUAAAUGUGUCCUACACAGAGAUUGAUUCUGAUUGAAUCUGUGAGUGUGAAACCUCAGCUAGGAUUAAUUAACUACUAUAGUGAUGUGGAUUUUUUUUUUUAACUUGUCCUGCUGUGGAGUGGCUCCAGGUAGGAAUCUCAAUUCCCAGACCAGGACUGAACCCAGGCCACAGCAGUGAAAGCACCAAGUCCUAACUACUAGACCACCAGGGAACUCCCUGUAGUAAUAUGGAUUUUCAACUGUGGUAGGUGUCCAUGCCCUUAACCCCUGUAUUGUUUAAGGGUUAACUGUAUUAUGAGAUUAGCAAUGGCACUUACAAAACUGUCUUAUUCAUUAUUGAAAACUAACUUUUAACACUAGCACAUCCUUAAACUUGACCUGCUGAAAGCACACCAGUGUUCCAGCAAGAACAAAGGAGAAAGCGGAAGUGAAGCAAGUGAAGCACACACCUUUCUUUAAGGUCAGUCAGUAUCUGAAAGUCACACAGACAGUCUGCCCUCCAUAUCAGCAGAGAUGGAAGCAGCCCACUGUAGUAUGCCAUUUUCUAUAAAGGAUUCGAGCAUGGGGAGUUUGGUAGCUGGUGAGGAGGAGAGAGUCCUGGAACCUAUUCUACUCCCUUACACUAGGGAUGACCAUACCAUAUCAUUUCUAUUCCUUUGGACAGAACUCUGGUACAUGACCACACCAAGAUGUAAGCUGGCAUAGAAAAGUGCUAUCUGUCUUUGAGCUAACAUGUACCUAGCUAAAAACCAAAGAAGGUGUAAUAAGAGAUAGCCUCUGACACCAGAGGGUCUACUAAGAGUCAGUAUGAAUAGAGAUUAAAAUGCAUUUUGAAGUCAAACAAACUGAAAUCAGGGUAUACAUCUGUCACUUAUUAGCUUUCAGACCCUGGGAAAAUUUCUUAAUCUCUCUAAACAUAAAUUAUAUCAUCUUUAGUGUAUAUUUCCCAUAUUUUGGUUACCUUCCUAUUUUUGUAGGGAAUAAUUGUGUGACUCUUGUAAAGCUGCCCUCACACUACAUGACAAUUUUCUAUUUAUAUCAAGUGCACCUAUAAUGAUUUGUUACUAUGUUCUCUAAUAUAUUUCCCUACCCAAAAUUUAAUUAAUUGUUCUAUGAUUAGUUCAAUUAUCAUAAUCAUACACCAAACAUAAAGAUGUGCUUUAAGGAAGUUCUCUAGUGGCUCAACAGGUUAAGGAUCUGGUGUUGUCAUUGCUGUAGCUCAGGUUGCUGCUGUGGCAUAGGUUCGAUCCCUGGCCAGGGAACUUCUCAUUCCAUGGGAGCAGCCACACACACACACACACACAUGAUUUAAAAGAAAAAAGCUUGCAUUUGACUGAAGAGCAGAUGGUGACAGUAGUGGAAUCUUUAUAUUAUCCUCCGAAAUUUAACCUUCUAUCCUCUCUACCCUCUGCAUAAAUUUAUAAAUUAGAGAACAUGUAAAGAAACUACCCUACAGCAGCAAAUACAAGAGAAUUAACAGUCACCUGAAGUAGAUCCUCCAGAACAUCAGAUGAAGAAACAAUAAAGAAUAUAAAAUAAAUGUUUAAAUUUUUAAUUAAAAUUAACAACUCAUUACAAAUAUGAAGCCAUCAAUAUUUUUAAAAUAAAAUGAAAUAUCAGUGUUUUAAAAGAAUAUUGAGAUUAAAUACUUCAGACAUUAGAAACAGCAAAAUAGAAAAUAGUGACUUGUAAAUUGAGGAAAUAAAGUGAUAAAAAAGAUGAAAGAGAAUAUUUUAAAUAUGGAGGAAAAAUAUAGGAGUUCCAGGAAGAUAGAAUAGACAGAAUUGAAGUGAUAGUCACAAGAUGAAAGCUAGAACUUUCCAGAACUGAAUUUUCACCUUCAAGAGACAUACAUCUCAGGUAGGAUAAAUUUUAAAAUUCCACACCUAUGUUAGAAAAACUGCCUAAUACCAUUGACAAAGAAAAUAUGGUGAAUGUAUCUAGAGAUUAACCACAGCCUACAAAAGAAAAAAUAAGCUAAGAACAUAAUUCUCUAUAGUAACAAUAGAAGCCAAAAGAUAGUGAAAAAAUAACUUCAAACUAUUUAAGUUAAUAAACAUUCAAUGUAGACUUUAUAACUAAACUCUCAGAAAUGAGGGCAAUAUAAAAGAUAUUUUUAGAGAAAGCAAAAAAAUGAUCAUUACCAUCAGUAACUUUUACAGAAAGAAUGUCUAAAGGAUCUCCUUCAGGAAAAAAGAAAUCAAAACCAGAAAGAAGACAUUGGAUAUAAACAGAAAUAUAUAAGAGGGUAAAUCUAAACAAACUAAUAAAUAUCCAGUUUGGGAGAAUUUAGUAGAAAAUAAAUCUUAGGCAAUAAUGACAUGUGAGAUAAGAUGAUCAGAAUGAAAAUAUUUUAAUGUUCAAUUUUGGGUAAGGGAAAUAUUAGAUAACUUUAAAUUUUAAUAAAUAUGUAUAUUAAAAUAUUAGAGCAGUGUUUUUGAAAGAAUAGAAAAAGUAACUUAAAUACACAAACACACAUACACAAUCCAAAGAAAGCAGAACUAGCCAAAGUCAGAAGGUAAAAACAGCUGCAUUAUAUCCACAAGCAUGAGAUGAAAGAACAACAAUUUUGAGAAUCAAACGAUCAGUCUUAAAAAGCUUGAAGAUGGAAUAAAAGCAAAAGAGAGUUAUUGAUCUGAAAAUAGAUUUAAGGAAAUUAUCUAAAAUGUGAAACAGAGAUACACUGUAUAAAACUGGAAAUUACUCGAGAAGUUGAGAUGUUGAGGUUAGAAUGAAAAUGUCCAACAUAAAUUAAAAAUGAGUUUCAGAUUGAGGGACCAGAGAGAAUAGAAGAGAGGCAAUACUUUUUAAAAUGGCUUAGAAUUUUCCAGAGUUGACAAAAGGUGUGAAAUCUCAGAUUCCUAAAGUGGAAGUGGAUAAAAAGAGAUUAAUAUGCACCAAAUGCACCACAGGAAAACUGCAGAAAACCUUAGAGAUAGGAAGAUAUUAAGAGGCAAAAGAUGAAAGGGAACAUUUCUUUUUAAAGGAAGACAGUAUAAUUUUAACAGAAAACUAGAUAAGGAUAAUAAAAGAAAAAA
ensembl:lncRNA